rnacentral:rRNA from 1 species
AUUGAACGCUGGCGGCAGGCCUAACACAUGCAAGUCGAACGGUAACAGGAAGAAGCUUGCUUCUUUGCUGACGAGUGGCGGACGGGUGAGUAAUGUCUGGGAAACUGCCUGAUGGAGGGGGGUAACUACUGGAAACGGUAGCUAAUACCGCAUAACGUCGCAAGACCAAAGAGGGGGACCUUCGGGCCUCUUGCCCUCGGAUGUGCCCAGAUGGGAUUAGCUAGUAGGUGGGGUAACGGCUCACCUAGGCGACGAUCCCUAGCUGGUCUGAGAGGAUGACCAGCCACACUGGAACUGAGACACGGUCCAGACUCCUACGGGAGGCAGCAGUGGGGAAUAUUGCACAAAGGGCGCAAGCCUGAUGCAGCCAUGCCGCGUGUAUGAAGAAGGCCUUCGGGUUGUAAAGUACUUUCAGCGGGGAGGAAGGGAGUAAAGUUAAUACCUUUGCUCAUUGACGUUACCCGCAGAAGAAGCACCGGCUAACUCCGUG